GAUGAACGCUAGCGGCAGGCUUAAUACAUGCAAGUCAAGGGGGUAGCAAUACAACCGGCGCACGGGUGAGUAACGCGUACACAACAUACCAUAUACUGGAGUAUAGCUUUGGGAAACUGAAGGUAAUCCUCCAUAACAUUGCGAGAGGGCAUCUGAUUGCAAUUAAAGUUCCGGCGGUAUAUGAUUGGUGUGCGUUUGAUUAGCUAGUUGGUAGGGUAACGGCCUACCAAGGCGACGAUCAAUAGCUGGCGUGAGAGCGCGACCAGCCUCACUGGAACUGAGACACGGUCCAGACUCCUACGGGAGGCAGCAGUAGGGAAUAUUGGACAAUGGGCGAAAGCCUGAUCCAGCCAUGCCGCGUGAUAGAUGAAGGCCCUCUGGGUUGUAAAUAUCUUUUAUCUGGGAAGAAACUCCUCUAUUCUUAGAGGCCUGACGGUACCAGAGGAAUAAGCACCGGCUAACUCCGUGCCAGCAGCCGCGGUAAA
rnacentral:rRNA from 1 species